UACGUAGGUGGCAAGCGUUGUCCGGAAUUAUUGGGCGUAAAGGGCGCGUAGGCGGCGAUUCAAGUGACGGGUGAAAUCCCUCGGCUUAACCGAGGAACUGCCUGUCAGACUGGGUUGCUUGAGACCGGGAGAGGCGAGUGGAAUUCCCAGUGUAGCGGUGAAAUGCGUAGAUAUUGGGAGGAACACCAGUGGCGAAGGCGGCUCGCUGGACCGGAACUGACGCUGAGGCGCGAAAGCGUGGGGAGCAAACAGG
rnacentral:rRNA from 1 species